UCACUAUGGAUUUAUAUUUGUGUCGAAUAGAAAUACGUCGAGAGCUACGCCGGCGGACAAUUUAUUUCAAUUAUCAUGAAUAAGCUCAGUGGAGACGCUGUGUGUUAUCGUUUGCUCUAGACAAAUAUAUAAACUAUAUUAUUUGUCGAACAAAAGGUUAAUAGCGAGUGCCGUGCAACGAAUAAUGGUUUGGGAAGAAACUAUAGUGACGUCUCGCGAUUCAGCCUUGGAUAUUAUGGUUACGAGAAAAAGUGUAUUUUGAAAAUAUACCGAGUGUUUUCUUGUAAAAAACGUCUGUGAAGUAUUCAUCAACUGUGCGGUGGUUUUGUUCGACGUUUUGGUGUUGUAUAUCGGUGUUAUGUCGGGUGGCAGGAGUAUCGACAAGGAGCGAAAGUCUCCUCGGGAAAGCGGGGAGGAUUCGGAGGACGAGAGCGAGAUCUUGGAGGAGAGCCCCUGCGGCCGCUGGCUGAAGCGCCGGGAAGAGGUAGAACAGCGAGAUGUGCCAGGCAUCGACUGCGCGAACCUCGCGAUGGACACGGAGGAGGGCGUGGAGGUGGUGUGGAACGAAGUGCAGUUCUCCGAGCGCAAGAACUUCAAGGCGCAGGAGGACAAGAUCCAGGCGGUGUUCGACAACCUCACCAGGCUGGAACAUCCCAACAUCGUCAAAUUCCACCGGUAUUGGACGGAUACACACAACGAUAAGCCUAGGGUAAUAUUCAUAACGGAGUACAUGUCAUGCGGCUCCCUGAAGCAGUUCCUCAAGCGCACCAAGCGCAACGUGAAGCGGUUGCCGCUGCAGGCCUGGAAGAGAUGGUGCACGCAGAUAUUGUCUGCGCUCAGCUAUCUCCACGGCUGCGUGCCGCCCAUCGUGCACGGCAACCUCACGUGCGACACCAUCUUCAUCCAGCACAACGGACUCGUCAAGAUCGGCUCCGUGGCCCCUGACGCCAUACACCACCACGUCAAGACCUGCCGCGAGAACAUGAGGAACAUGCACUUUAUUGCCCCGGAAUACGGAUCAUCACAAAUGGUGACGCCAGCGAUGGAUAUCUACUCAUUCGGAAUGUGCGCAUUGGAGACCGCAGCACUUGAGAUUCAGGGCAAUGGCGACUCGGGCAGCCACGUCACGGAGGAACACAUCAUACGAACGGUCGAAUCCUUGGAGGAGCCGCGCCAGAAGGACUUUAUAUACAGGUGUAUAAACAAGGACCCCGCCAAGAGGCCGACGGCGCGAGAGCUGCUGUUCCACCCGCUACUCUUCGAAGUGCACUCCCUCAAGUUAUUGGCAGCACACAUCCUUGUCAACACCACGGCGAACAUAUCGGAGACGAUAACGGACGAGGUAGCGGGCGGGUCGAGUGGCGAGGCGCUCGCCUGGUGUGUUCGAGGAGGUGCCAGGGUGGAGCUGGCUGCCAAGGACUUGCAGCCGCAUGCCGAGAAGUUGGAGAAGUUCGUCGAGGAUGUCAAGUACGGCAUCUACCCGCUGACGGCGUACGGGCUGGCGGGGCCGGGCCGAGCUGCCUCCCCGGCCGCGCCCGCCGAGUCGCUCCCCGCGUCGCCCGAGCCGCGCGACCUGGAGACGCGCCGCGUCGUCAACUGCAUGUGCAGCCUCAAGCCCGCGCCCUCCCCGCACCACGACGCGCCGCCCGCUGACCUGCUGAUGACGAUCCUGCUGCGCAUGGACGACAAGAUGAACCGGCAGCUCACCUGCGCCGUGUCCCGCCGCGACACCGCCGCCGCCCUCGCGCUAGAGCUCGUGCAGCUCGGCUUCAUACACGAGGUAUGUGCCAGACUAGUGCCAUGCACUACAACAUGCACCGGCAGCUCACCUGCGCCGAGCUCGUGCAGCUCGGCUUCAUACACGAGGUAUGUGCCAGACUAGUGCCAUGCACUACAACAUGCACCGGCAGCUCACCUGCGCCGAGCUCGUGCAGCUCGGCUUCAUACACGAGGUAUGUGCCAGACUAGUGCCAUGCACUACAACAUGCACCGGCAGCUCACCUGCGCCGAGCUCGUGCAGCUCGGCUUCAUACACGAGGUAUGUGCCAGACUAGUGCCAUGCACUACAACAUGCACCGGCAGCUCACCUGCGCCGAGCUCGUGCAGCUCGGCUUCAUACACGAGGUAUGUGCCAGACUAGUGCCAUGCACUACAACAUGCACCGGCAGCUCACCUGCGCCGAGCUCGUGCAGCUCGGCUUCAUACACGAGGUAUGUGCCAGACUAGUGCCAUGCACUACAACAUGCACCGGCAGCUCACCUGCGCCGAGCUCGUGCAGCUCGGCUUCAUACACGAGGUAUGUGCCAGACUAGUGCCAUGCACUACAACAUGCACCGGCAGCUCACCUGCGCCGAGCUCGUGCAGCUCGGCUUCAUACACGAGGCGGACCGCGACAAGAUCUGCCGGCUGAUGGAGGAGUCGCUGCGCAGCAGCUUCGGCGGCCGCUGCCCCGCGCCGCCGCUCGGCAGCUAGUGACGUCAGCGCGUGACGUCAGCGCUGCCGUGUCGAGGUUGGUCAGUCCCGUAGCCGCCGCCCGCCGGCGUUCAGUACGUUAGAGUUACGCAUAUUUAUACCUAGCGAUGGUCGCCACGAUCAUGAGAUUUUGUAUUGCCGUGUCAUGUAUUUUGCAUAAGUAUGGUACCGAUAGUCCGCGGAAUUCCGACUUGAGGCUUGUUUAAGCGGGGAUCCUACGGUUCCGAAUGUUAUUUAUUUUUACUUUAAUGUUAGGAAGUAAGGAGUGUGAGCGCAACAUCACUAUUUAGUUUUAUAUGAAAUUAAACCAAUACGAUAGCUACGAUAACUCGAGUCCUCGCGUAAACAAGUGUCCAUCUUGCAAUCUUCACGUCAAUCACAGCUUGUACUACUGACAGCAGUUCUAUGAGUUUUAUUCAGAGAAAGUAAGAAAACAUCUGUCAUUUGGCAAAACUGCUGUAUAGAGUAAGAUAGUGUGCGGAUAGUGUACGAGAUGAGGUACCUUCUAAUAUUGCAUUUCACCUCCAAAAAAACUUACUAGUCGAGUGUGAAUCUAAAUCGAUCAGCCGAAUCAUUCGUUUUUAAAUUAAUCGAUACGCUUUCUUAAAGGAAAUUGUAAAAAUAUAAGUUCACUUUAAGGCGAAAUGUAAAAAUUGUAAAGUUAUUGAAGAUUCGGAACGGUUCAUAAUUUAGUUCGAACAUCGAGUAUGCUUUAGUGAUGUAGAAUUUUGUAUGAAUGUGUAUAUGUUAUAAAUGAUAUUUAAAAGAAAAAUAUUUAAAUUAAACGUUUACUUUUAAUUAUAUGUAUAGUGAGGCUUCCUCUUAGAGCUUUAUGGAUGUGGUUAUAAAUAAUAAGUAUACGGAAAAUUGAACAUACUCACUAUGAUGAUAAGGUUGAAAUUUGUACUGUACUCGCGUCGAUUAUUACUUUUUACUUACGAACGGACACUGGACUUUGUUUGUUGACUACAGUCGAGUAGUUUGUUAAGAUUUUUAAUGAGACGCUUAUUAUAUUAUUCUGUUUUGUAUGGACGCUUGUGGCUGUCACGUCGGACGCUCUUUAGACCAAGUAACCAGAGAUAAAACUCUCUUUUUAAUAUCGAUAAAUAAAGUCACCACAUUUUUGCAGUUUUGUGAAGUCGUAAAAACAUGAUGAAAUGUGAGAGCGACAGGCGUCCCAUCACAUAUAUUGUAUGCAUGUUUGAAGUCAAUUGUCCAAACUUGUGAUGUUUUGAUGUAAAUUAAUGACUUUAUGACGAGCCUUGUAUUCAUGUCAGCGAAAUAAAAAAUAAAUAAUAAUCUUUGUCUUCACCUAUUUAUCUAUAAAUAGGGCUGUUACGAAAAUAUCGAUAUAUUUUUGCUUUUGCAAUACAAGGUUCUUUAUGAAAAUAAUAAUAGUUUUGCAUUUACACAUACUUUUUGGUUAUAUACAAACGGUGAAGUUUCAGUUAAGAUACGUAACGCUAUAGUGGUGCUAGUAUGCGUGUGCAGCAGUCUAUUAAAUUCCUUAUAUUGUAAUAUCUCGACAAACGUGAACAUGGAAGGAUUACUUCAACUGUGUUCUUUUACUAACUGAUAGAGAAAGACAGUGAAAAGGAUUGUUAAUACCUUUGAAAUUAAAAAGAAAUUAAAAUUCGCUGCGGUUUCCAUCGAUAGUAUGUCGCUUAAAUAGUGCGAUAUUUUAAUAGAAAUUGAUUUGUCUUUUGGUCUUUUUUUACCAGUUGUCAAGGCAGUUGUUCAUAAGUGAUCCUUCUGUUUCCAAUUGUUGCAUUAUUGUGUAUAUUGUCAUACUUAUAGAAUCGCAUCGGCACCGGUUCCUAGUUCGUUAGUUAUAUUCCAAAACGUUUUGGUGCUGACACACAUUUUUUUAAUUUUAUAUUUUGAAAAAAAUUUCGCUUUUUCCGUAGAGGUGUAAAGUGACAUGCACGUUUAUCUAAAACUUGCUGUUCUUAUGAAUUAAAUUACUUAGCAACAUGGCCGUUCAUCACCAAGUUAUCGAUAAAAUGUGCUUGUUUGUUACACCUCUACGGAUAGCGAGCUACACAUUUGGUUAACGCUAGUGGUGCCAAAUAUACGAGGUGCCAACAAUUCGUAUUACUUUCUCACGACAAUUCAGUUAUUUUACCUUCAUUCCCACAAGUAACGGCUUGCAGAUGACAAUAGAUAUAAAUCAUUUAUUAAACAAUAGAACGGAAAUGAAGGGCUAUUGAAACACCAACGUUCGCAUCGAUAGGUUUUAAAUAUUUGAUAUUUUAUCUUCAGUAUUCUUGCUUUAAUAACUUCCAAUUACUCAAUUAAUUUUUACCAGAUUUUUGUCGACUUUAAUUGUGCUUAGAUAGAGAAACAGUUGCCUAAUAUCAAGUUUCUGUUAUGAUUAGUACACACGAUGCGAACCCCUUAUGCCCCCUCGGUACAGAUGUUCAGGUGUUCGGUAAAGCAGCGUUUUCACCGCGUUGGUUGUGUCAGUGCCUGCUGUGUGCAACAUGCUUUAAACAAUUGUUGAAGUAUUUUUGAGUACAGUGGAUGGUAUCAGAAAUAGUAUUGCGGGAAUUCGAAUAUCCAUCAACAGAAUUGAUCAAAUAAAGAACCCAAAAUCACUCUUAAUUUCGAUGAACAAUAUCGAUGUUUUGAGUUACGUUUGAAUUGCCUGCCGUUUUCUUCUAAGUCGAUAUAUCUGACGCACAGUACUGAUGUAUACUUCGAUGCCAACAUGAGCAUGUUGCAGCAGUAGGCAUCGUGUCGGCAUGUGGCUAGGAGUGUAGGCGCAGUAGUGUAGAGUAGUGUAAACGAAAGACUGGCUAAUGUAAAGAGUUAGGUUUGUCGCGCGAGGCCGGUGUCGCUCCCCUCGAACACUUCGGCUUAAGUACUAACUUAUUAAGGUGCGGGAAUUUUCGUUGACGUUACCAAAAAACUAUAUACGCUUAUAUGUAUAUGUAUAUUAGGAAAUAUAAUUAAAUUAUAAAAAAAAAAUUAGGAAAUUUUUAAAUUGAAUUUGUCUCGUGGCACCGGCACCGCGCGAGUCACGUCGGGAGGUCAGAGCUAGUGAAGUGGCGUGUUCUUUGUAAAUAUUCGCUUUUAGUCUAAAACUAUACUUAUUAAUGAUUAUUGUUGUAAUGUAACUGAUUUACGUACCUACUUAUCUACCUAUAGCAUACAAACGCCGCUACGAUACUGAUUUGCUUGUAUUCAUUAUGUAUGUCGCAUUUUUAUUUAAAUUUCGGUUUUUAUUGUUUUAAAUAAAACGACGCUGGUUUGGCUGAGUGGCUGUGUCUUCAUAGUGAAAUUAGCUUAAAUAAGCAGCUUAAAUCUUUAUUGAAUAAAUAUCUUAUGGAACACGACGUUAGCCAGCCACUUUCCACCAGUAAUACUAAAACAUUCAGCAGCGGCUUUUAGCACAAAAGCCAUCACAACGUUACCUACACUGCUUUUGCGAUAAUUUUAGAUAACUCUCACCUUUAUCUAUGUUCCUAAGAGUACCACUUCACUUCGGUGGCGCUGCAAACAAUAUUCCAUUUUACUUCGCUCACCAACAUACAUCAACUAAACCAAGGCUUUUCUGAACAUUAACUAAUCUGGUGCUAAACUAAUCCAUACUAAACUUAGGCUCUUGGAUUCAUUCAGAAAACUCUCGAGGCUAGAUCACUUUACUUUAGCGAAAUAAACCUAAAGACUUAGUCGAUAAGGCCCAUAUUCACUUGUACCCAAUGCCUAGUGAUGUAACGCAAGUUAUAGAUUAUACAAGUGUCGCGUUGACGUUAGUGUUGUACCCCAGCGGCGCCAGCCAGUGCAGUGGUAUCGACUUUUAUUUAAUUUAAUAUAACGUUGUUUAUAUUUUAGUUUCACUCAGAUUAUUUUUCUUUUGUUUUAUUUUUUUAUUUACAAAAAGUGGACACAUUAAUGAAAGAUGUUUAGUUUGAUUAACAAUAUAUUGUUGUAUAUAAGUACCCAAUCAGUGUUCUGGUUUUUUCUUUUGUUUAUCCAAAGAGAAAAAUGUGUUCAUCUAUGAAAAUAUUUUAAUUUGCGUUUUUAUGAGAUUGUAACAUAAUUAUUUAUUGGAUCCAGAAUUGCAUUUCCCACUCGAUGAUAUGAUUUUGUCUGCAGUUAACAUUGUGCAAGUAACCGAAGUAUGAUUUAGCUAUAGUACAUAUUAUUAUUGUAAUACCUAUUAUGAUUAUGCUCAAAGUGACUUGUAAAGAAUCCAUAACAAAAUAUGAUCGAACGAUCGAGUGAUGUUUGCAUACUAUUCUACAAUAAAGAACGUCAAUAAAGUGUAUUUUAAAAAAGUA